AGGAUGAACGCUGGCGGCGUGCCUAAAACAUGCAAGUCAUACGGGCUACCUUCGGGUAGCCAGUGGCAAACGGGUGAGUAACACGUGGGAACGCGCCUUGGGGUGGGGAAUAACGCUGAGAAAUCAGUGCUAAUACCGCAUAUGGUCUAACGACUAAAGCAGCAAUGCGCCCCGAGAGCGGCCCGCGACCGAUUAGCUAGUUGGUGGGGUAAUGGCCUACCAAGGCGGUGAUCGGUAGCUGGUCUGAGAGGAUGGUCAGCCACACUGGGAAUGCGAACGGCCCAGACUCCUACGGGAGGCAGCAGUUAGGAAUUUUCGGCAAUGGACGAAAGUCUGACCGAGCGACGCCGCGUGGAGGAUGACGCCUUUCGGGGUGUAAACUCCUUUUCUGCGGGAAGAUAAUGACGGUACCGCAGGAAUAAGCACCGGCUAACUACGUGCCAGCAGCCGC
rnacentral:rRNA from 1 species